rnacentral:rRNA from 1 species
CAGUAGCCACGGUAAUACAGAGGGUGCGAGCGUUAAUCGGAUUUACUGGGCGUAAAGCGUGCGUAGGCGGCUUCUUAAGUCGGAUGUGAAAUCCCUGAGCUUAACUUAGGAAUUGCAUUCGAUACUGGGAAGCUAGAGUAUGGGAGAGGAUGGUAGAAUUCCAGGUGUAGCGGUGAAAUGCGUAGAGAUCUGGAGGAAUACCGAUGGCGAAGGCAGCCAUCUGGCCUAAUACUGACGCUGAGGUACGAAAGCAUGGGGAGCAAACAGGAUUAGAUACCCCGUAGUCCCUGUCUCUUAUACA